ACACGCGCCCGCAAGAGUGAAUCCACUGGACCCGGUUAUGAUAAAUGGAUUGCCCUCAAUGUUUACACCGUCAUUGUUUUACCAAACCCUAAUACGCCAGUCAAUCUCCUUCACGGCUUCACGAUCUGUUGAUUCCCUCACGUUAAGCCCUGAUAUUGUUCAACAUUGAACACUGCGUUUUCAGUUUCCAAUCGCAAACCCGUAUAGCUUUCUUCUUAUCCAACGAGCAAUGAUUGAAGGGUAGUAUCUGGUUCCAAUUCUUAGAUUCUUUGUUCUUCGUAUUUUCAUAGAUUAAUUUUGCUAUAUUCAUGUUUUUUGUUAUUAUGUUGAGUGAAUAGAGUUUUUUUAUUCCUCUUCACUGUUGAAUCAAUCAAGGUCAGUUCUCUGUUAUUUUAUUUUAUUUUAUUGUGAAUUCAAUAGGCGUUUUGAAGUGUAUCCUUGCUAGGGUUAAUUUGUGCUAUGCUAAAUCUGAAUUUCAGUCGGUUUAUGUGGUUUUUUACUACCUGAUAAAACCUGCAAAACAUUUAGGUUGUAUGUCUACAAAAUUAACAUGUUCAAAUUAAUAGCUUCAAUAGCUUAUCUUAUUAUUGACGAUAAUGAUGUUGUAUGGUAACUUGUGCGUUGAUUCUUUAGGUAAACAUGGUGCAAAAACUAUAUAAAAGUGGGAAGACAACUGUAAGUUCAUAUGCCGCCUGUGUUGGGAAUACAUUUCAACUUAGCCGGAAGCUUGGCAACGGCUCAUUUGGAGAGAUCUUUAUGAGUUUGUAUGAUGAUCAUUUAGGUUAUGUGUUUAAGAAGUGGUAAAUGAUAUGGUUUUUGUUUGUUUUACAUGAACUAAUAUUCAAAGAAACGAAGAAGUUGCUAUUAGGCUGGAGCGUGGUUGUACUUCUCUUUGAAUAUUGUUUAUUUUCUCUACCUUAAUUGCUUUAAUUGUUAAACUGGCAUUUGUGCUACUUGUAAUUGAUAAGGUUUUCCACAUUUUUGUUUAGAUUUAUAGCUAAAUGUAUGACUUCCAGGGAUUGUUAAUUCUGAAUGUUCUUAUUUUUGUAAUUGAGAAAACCACUUUUCAUUGUAAAUUGGAUAUGAUUAGUUGCAGGAUUUGUGUUUUACUGGAUUGAUGAUUAGAUAUGAAUCCCAUGGUUGAAUUGAUUUAUACUCAUUGCUGAAUUUUUGUUUGCUCGCUUAAAAUUUUUAGGAUUUUCAACGUGGUUGAAGUUAUCCUUGCUGGUUCUUUCAUGAGUGUAUAGAUUGGCAAGUUAAAUUAACAAAGAAAUAAUUAUAUUUAUACGGCAAGCACUUUGAGAGUCUAUCCUCCAGCUGAAGUACAACCAAAACCAACAUAAAGUGGAACCUGUAUUUCCGCCUGAAGCACCACCUAAAGGCUGGAGAUUAGAUUCAGUGGCUCCACUAGAGGGAUCAGAAAGGCUGUUUAGUAACUGCUGUGAUGACUGAUGUACCAAAAAAUCAGUAAACAGACAACGUGCAGCACCUGCCUCAUCAGUUCAACCAUAGCAUUUGUGACAUAAUUGGUCUUGAUUUUUGUUUGGUGAGUUUUCUAUUUUUUUGAUUAUAGAAUGAUAUUUAAGUCAUUUAGUUUAUAUAAAAUAUUUCUCCUUAACCUAUUUGUGGUCGUUAUGAUGAUUUAGAAUAAGGUAACUGUUGAUUAUAACAAACAUUCGUAGCCUUCAAAGUUGAAUUUGUGUGUACGUGCUUAUCGAGCUGAGGUAAAGAAAGAUGACUACUCUCUUGCUAAUUAGUUAAGCACUUAUUUUUAUAUUUUAUUAACUACGAAAACGUACAAACAGUUGUCUGCAACAUUUGGGUUAUGCUUCAUCAAGUCAUGUCCUCUUUUUAAACGAUGAUAUUUGGUUACCCAACUUUCUACAUAAAAUUGUUUACUCAAAUCAAUGUAAGUUGAUAUAUACGGAUGGCUACAUGUUUUUCCUCAUGGCUAAACACUUUUUAGUAAGUUAAAUUUUGGGACAUCUAUGGUUUAAUAUGAUUUAUAUUUUGUAUGAACAUGGGAUUUGUGUGGCUAUAUCGACAUCAACCUGGAAAUGUGGAUGCUGAACUCACCUCUCUAUAACGCCUAGGAGCUGGUGCUUGUGUUGGACUACUGAAAUAAUCAUUGAGUAUAACAGCUCUCAAGCUCAUCACAAUGCAUCUCUAAGUGCUUGUCACUCAUGAUGUUCUAUGAUUCAUCUUCUUACAUUAUUUUGUUAUGACUCGUAGAGAUUUACUUCUGGCUUUUAUCGUAACUAUGGCUUAUA